rnacentral:rRNA from 2 species
UACGGAAGGUCCGGGCGUUAUCCGGAUUUAUUGGGUUUAAAGGGAGCGUAGGCCGGAGAUUAAGCGUGUUGUGAAAUGUAGAUGCUCAACGUCUGCACUGCAGCGCGAACUGGUUUCCUUGAGUACGCACAAAGUGGGCGGAAUUCGUGGUGUAGCGGUGAAAUGCUUAGAUAUCACGAAGAACUCCGAUUGCGAAGGCAGCUCACUGGAGCGCAACUGACGCUGAAGCUCGAAAGUGCGGGUAUCGAACAGG